GACAGCGUGCUAGAGUGGUUAAUAGGUGAGACUUGAACCAAAACGGAAAGUGGGACCCGCUCCUGCUAACCAAAUGCUCAAUAUCUCAUGGUUUCGGCCUCGCAGGUUCGAAUCCUGUCGCUGUCG
rnacentral:tRNA from 1 species